rnacentral:rRNA from 1 species
UACGGAGGGUGCGAGCGUUGUUCGGAAUCACUGGGCGUAAAGGGCGUGUAGGCGGUCUGUUAAGUCUGAUGUGAAAGCCCGGGGCUCACCCCCGGAAGUGCAUUGGAUACUGGCGGACUCGAGUCUCGGAGAGGAGGGUGGAAUUCCUGGUGUAGCGGUGAAAUGCGUAGAUAUCAGGAGGAACACCGGUGGCGAAGGCGGCCCUCUGGACGAUGACUGACGCUGAGGCGCGAAAGCUAGGGGAGCAAACAGG